GGUCAAGCUACAAAGGGCUCACGGCGGAUACCUUGGCACACAGAGGCGAUGAAGGACGUGGUUACCUGCGAUAAGUCCCGGGGAGCUGGAAGCACGCUUUGAUCCGGGAAUUUCCGAAUGGGGCAACCCUUAAUACGGCCAGCUGAAUCCAUAGGCUGGCACGAGCCAACCCAGCGAACUGAAACAUCUUAGUAGCUGGAGGAAAGGAAAGUAAAAACGACUCCCUAAGUAGCGGCGAGCGAACGGGGAAGAGCCUAAACCGAUACUUUCGAGUAUCGGGGUUGUGGGACAGCAACGUGUAUCAGGAAUGUUAGGAGAAGUGCUUGAAUGGCACGCCACAGAGGGUGAAAGCCCCGUAACCGAAAACUGAACUGAGCUAGCUGUAUCCCGAGUAGCACGGAGCACGUGAAAUUCCGUGUGAAUCCGCGAGGACCACCUCGUAAGGCUAAGUACUACUGUGUGACCGAUAGCGAAACAGUACCGCGAGGGAAAGGUGAAAAGAACCCCGGGAGGGGAGUGAAAUAGAACAUGAAACCGUGAGCCUACAAGCAAUGGGAGCCCUACUUAUAGGGUGACCGUGUGCCUGUUGAAGAAUGAGCCGGCGACUUAUAGGCACUGGCGGGUUAAACCGGAAAUGGUGGAGCCAUAGCGAAAGCGAGUCUGAAUAGGGCGUUUGUCAGUGUUUAUAGACCCGAACCCGGGUGAUCUAACCAUGGCCAGGAUGAAGCUUGGGUGAUACCAAGUGGAGGUCCGAACCGACUGACGUUGAAAAGUCAGCGGAUGAGCUGUGGUUAGGGGUGAAAUGCCAAUCGAACCCGGAGCUAGCUGGUUCUCCCCGAAAUACGUUGAGGCGUAGCGUCUCGUGCUCCAGCAGGGGGGUAAAGCCACCAUUUCGGUGCGGGCUGCGAGAGCGGUACCAAAUCGAGAUGAACUCUGAAUACCCUGUGUGUAGCGAGGCAGUCAGACUGUGGGGGAUAAGCUCCAUGGUCGAGAGGGAAACAGCCCAGACCGCCAGCUAAGGUCCCCAAAUCAACACUAAGUGAUAAAGGAGGUGGGAUUGCAUAGACAACCAGGAGGUUUGCCUAGAAGCAGCCAUCCUCAAAGGAGUGCGUAAUAGCUCACUGGUCGAGCGAUCCUGCGCCGAAAAUGAACGGGGCUAAGUGUUGUACCGAAGCUGCGGAUUUUAUGGUAGGGGAGCGUUCUAUGUGGGGCGAAGCGUUAGCGUGAGCGGGCGUGGACUGCAUAGAAGUGAGAAUGUCGGCUUGAGUAGCGAAAACAUGGGUGAGAAUCCCAUGCACCGAAACCCUAAGGGUUCCUCCGGCAGGCUCGUCCGCGGAGGGUUAGUCUGGACCUAAGGCGAGGCCGAAAGGCGUAGUCGAUGGAUAACAGGUCAACAUUCCUGUACCGGUCAUGUUUUGGGAAGAGGGACGGAGAAGGCUAGCCAAGCCAGAUGUUGGUUACUGGUUCAAGCGUUCGAGGCGUUGAGGAGCGGUGAAAACGUUCCGAGCUGAGGCGUGAGUACGAGCUGCUACGGCAGCGAAGUUGGUGACGUCAAGCUUCCAAGAAAAGCUCUAUACCCGUUAAGGCAUGACUGCCAGUACCCGAAACCGACACAGGUGGGGUGGUAGAGAAUACCGAGGUGCGCGAGGUAACUCUCUCUAAGGAACUCGGCAAAAUGGCCCCGUAACUUCGGGAGAAGGGGUGCCACCGCAAGGUGGUCGCAGUGAAGAGGCCCUGGCGACUGUUUACCAAAAACACAGGUCUCCGCUAAGUCGCAAGACGAUGUAUGGGGGCUGACGCCUGCCCAGUGCCAGUCAUGGCUGAAAUCACUGCAACCGUUCGUCCGACCCGUGAGGAGGUGGUUCCCUCCCGCAAGCGGGUGAAACUUCC
rnacentral:rRNA from 1 species